rnacentral:lncRNA from 1 species
AUGAGUCCACAGACUCAGACAGGAGCUCACCUCCUCAUGAGUUCACAGACUCAGACACGCGCUCACCUCCUCAUGAGUCCACAGACUCAGACACGCAUGCACCUCCUCAUGAGUCCACAGACUCAGACACGCAUGCACCUCCUCAUGAGUCCACAGACUCAGACACGCAUGCACCUCCUCAUGAGUCCACAGACUCAGACACGCGUGCACCUCCUCAUGAGUCCACAGACUCAGACACGAGCUCACCUCCUCAUGAGUCCACAGACGCAGACACGAGCUCACCUUCUCAUGAGUCCACAGACUCAGACACGCGCUCACCUCCUCAUGAGUCCACAGACUCAGACACGAGCUCACCUCCUCAUGAGUCCACAGACUCAGACACGCGCUCACCUCCUCAUGAGUCCACAGACUCAGACACGAGCUCACCUCCUCAUGAGUCCACAGACUCAGACACGAGCUCACCUCCUCAUGAGUCCACAGACGCAGACACGCGCUCACCUCCUCAUGAGUCCACAGACUCAGACACGCGCUCACCUCCUCAUGAGUCCACAGACGCAGACACGCGCUCACCUCCUCAUGAGUCCACAGACUCAGACACGAGCUCACCUCCUCAUGAGUCCACAGACUCAGACACGAGCUCACCUCCUCAUGAGUCCACAGACUCAGACACGCGCUCACCUCCUCAUGAGUCCACAGACUCAGACACGAGCUCACCUCCUCAUGAGUCCACAGACGCAGACACGCGCUCACCUCCUCAUGAGUCCACAGACUCAGACACGAGCUCACCUCCUCAUGAGUCCACAGACUCAGACACGCGUUCACCUCCUCAUGAGUCCACAGACUCAGACACGCGCUCACCUCCUCACGAGUCCACAGACUCAGACACGCGCUCACCUCCUCAUGAGUCCACAGACUCAGGCAGGAGCUCACCUCCUCAUGAGUCCACAGACUCAGACACGCGCUCACCUCCUCAUGAGUCCACAGACUCAGACACGCGCUCACCUCCUCAUGAGUCCACAGACUCAGACACAAGCUCACCUCCUCAUGAGUCCACAUAACACAAAUAAGGCAGCAUGUUUGCAGACAUGUGAGCCACUGAGACACGCCAUCUGCCCCCCGUGGCUGCUCCACACCUGGUCGCUGGGGGGCGUCUGA